CCAUUCCAAUCACAUCUAAUGCCUCCCUCGCUCGCCAGAGGUAUGCCGACUCUUGCGAGGCUGCCAUUAACGAGCAAAUCAAGUAAGCAUCCAUCCAUUAAAAUCAAAAGCUCCCUUAAAAUUUAGAUAUUAACAGAGGUUGAGGUUGAUUUUUGGACAGUGUGGAAUACAACGUGUCGUAUGUGUACCAUUCAAUGUACGCCUACUUUGACAGAGACAACGUUGCUCUCAAGGGUCUUGCCAAGUAACUUUUUCUUACUACUACUACUGCCUUUCAAUCUUAAUCUAACUAAAGCAAAAAUUUAAUAAUAUGAUAAAACUUGGUUCAGAUUUUUCAAGGAAUCAAGUGAUGAAGAAAGAGAGCACGCUGAGAAGUUUAUGGAGUACCAGGUUUCCCUCUCUUUUUUCCCCAUUCUAGAAGUUGAAAAGAAUAUUGAUUUGAUUUGAGGGUUAAUAUAUGUAUGGUUUAUGUAUAUGUGUGUAGAACAAAAGAGGAGGAAGAGUGACACUCCACCCUAUCGUCUCCCCUAUCUCUGAUUUUGAACAUGCUGAAAAAGGAGAUGCCUUAUAUGGUAUAUAUUUUUUUUUAUACUUAUACAAAAAAAAAAAACACUUUCUUUCUUGAUUAAUAAGUGUAUACACAGAUCUUGAAAUGGUCUUAUACUAAUCUAUAUUAUUUUCAGCAAUGGAAUUGGCCCUGUCUCUGGAGAAACUUACCAACGAGAAGCUUCUAAACCUUCACAGAGUAUGUUCCCAAAACUUAUCCAUCUAAAGUCAAUCAAAUAAGGCAUUCACUAAUUUUAAAAUAAUAAUUAAAAAAAACAGGUGGCAUCAGAGAACAAUGACCCACAGUUAGCUGAUUUUGUUGAGAGUGAGUUUCUCGGAGAGCAGGUGUGUUUUUCUUUUGUUCGUUUUCUUAACUAGUGACUUGAAACUAGUACCCACUUUUAAAUAAACAUAUUUUUCUCUCCCCCUUAGAUUGAAGCAAUCAAGAAGAUCUCAGACUUCAUCACCCAGCUAAGGAUGGUUGGCAAAGGACACGGUACGCUGUUUGAUCUAAACCUCCCCUAUAUUCAGUACUAGGACUAGAAUUUCAGUAGUAAUUUUUUUAGAAAAGCUUAUUAAAUUUUUAUGUGUCUUUUGCAGGAGUUUGGCACUUCGACCAGAUGCUUCUGAACUAGAGUGGGACCUCUAUAAGUUCACUUUAUGCUCUGGGGAGAUUAAAAGAGAAGUAAACAGAAGAAGAUUCUGUAAAAGUUGCUAGAGUGGAAGUUAUUAUUGGAGCAAAAAUAAGAUUUGUAGUACUAAUAGUAGUAAGCUUUGUGUGUUAAGAUGAUGGGUUUUUUUUUGUAAUAAUUUCAUAAGUUUAAUCUAUGAAGGUGGUUUUUGUUUCAUAUUUUCAUGUUCUGACUAUAUAUAUGAACAAACGGAGACUUGAGUCCGAUUAAUAGGUAGAGAAACACUCUAACUAAACGCAAUGCUGCAAUUCAAAAGGUGAAAGAAGAGUUAAAAAAAAAUAAGGAACCUGUGGAUGAAGAACAUGAAGCCUCGGUCACUCAGUGAGAUAACUGAAAAGCAAACAAAGAAGAGUUAAAAAGAAAAGAUAUAUGAAUUGAGACUUUAACAUAAGUGCAAUGCAAGUUGUUUAUAUUUCCAAACAGUAUGUUUGAUCCAGAGCUAGUAUCUGAUGCCCUAACUUAGAUUCUAUCUUGAACACUAGACUAGACAGUCUUCU
rnacentral:lncRNA from 1 species